AAGUACUAAUACAUGCUACAACAUAGAUGAACCUUGAAAACAUUAUGCUAAGUAAAAGAAGCCAAACGCAAAAGGACAAAUGUUGUGUGAUUUCAUUUAUAUGAGGU